rnacentral:tRNA from 1 species
UCCCUCAUAGCUAAGUUGGUAAAGAAUCUGUCUGCAAUGCAGGAGACCCAGAUUCAAUCCCUGGGUCGGGAA